GAUGAACGCUGGCGGCGUGCCUAACACAUGCAAGUCGAACGGAGCACUGAGAAUUCGGUCUUUGUGCUUAGUGGCGGACGGGUGAGUAACGCGUGAGCAAUUUGCCUUUCAGAGGGGGAUAACGAAUGGAAACGGUCGCUAAUACCGCAUAAAGUAUUUUGCAGGCAUCUGCGAGAUACCAAAGGAGCAAUCCGUUGAAAGAUGAGCUCGCGUCUGAUUAGAUAGUUGGUGAGGUAACGGCCCACCAAGUUGACGAUCAGUAGCCGGACUGAGAGGUUGAACGGCCACAUUGGGACUGAGACACGGCCCAGACUCCUACGGGAGGCAGCAGUGGGGAAUAUUGCGCAAUGGGGGAAACCCUGACGCAGCAACGCCGCGUGAUCGAAGAAGGUCUUCGGAUUGUAAAGAUCUUUUAUCAGGGACGAAGAAAGUGACGGUACCUGAUGAAUAAGCUCCGGC
rnacentral:rRNA from 1 species